rnacentral:lncRNA from 13 species
AUGGAACACACCUGUCUUCUACUCUUGCUGUUCAGUACACUGGUAUACUCCGGCCUCGGUCAUAAUGGAGGUACGUAUCUAUUUAUCCAUCACCUGCUCAAUUUUCCUUCUCCUCUUCUUCUCCUCUUCUUCUCCUCUUCUUCUCCUCCUCUCCUCCUCUUCUUCUCCUCUUCUCUAUCUCUGUUUACUCCUGCUACUCCUCUCAUAUCAAGUCUCUCCUUCUCUUCUCCUCCUUCUCCUCUUCUUCUCUUCUCCUCUUCUUCUCCUCUUCUUCUCCUCUUCUUCUCCUCUUAUUCUCCUCUUCUUCUCCUCUUCUUCUCCUCUUCUUCUCUUAUUCUCCUCUUCUUCUCCUCUUCUUCUCCUCUUCUUCUCCUCUUAUUCUCCUCUUCUCUCUCUCUGUUUACUCCUGCUACUCCUCUCAUAUCAAGUCUCUCCUUCUCUUCUCCUCCUUCUCCUCUUCUUCUCUUCUCUUCUUCUCCUCUUCUUCUCCUCUUCUUCUCCUCUUCUUCUCUUCUCCUCUUAUUCUCUUCUUCUCCUCUUAUUCUCCUCUUCUCUCUCUCUGUUUACUCCUGCUACUCCUCUAAUAUCAAGUCUCUCCCUCCUCUUCUCCUCCUCUUCUUCUCCUCUUCUUCUCCUCUUCUCUCUCUACUCCUGCUACUCCUCUCAUAUCAAGUCUCUCCCUCCUCUUCUUCUCCUCUUCCUCUCCUCUCCUCUCUCUCUCUACUCCUGCUACUCCUCUCAUAUCAAGUCUCUCCCUCCUCUUCUUCUCCUCUUCCUCUCCUCUCCUCUCUCUCUCUACUCCUGCUACUCCUCUCAUAUCAAGUCUGUAGUUGUGAUUCUCUGUCUGGUGUAGUGAUCUUGUGUGUGUGUGUUGUGUGUGUUGUGUUUCUGCAACCAGUCAGUGAGCAGUACAUAGGUUACUGAGUAGCUUACGCAUGAGCAGGGCCAGAAGGAAGGUCUUGUGGUCAAGCAGGUAAAGCGUUUCUCUUCUCAGUUCCCUUCUCAGUUCUCUUCUAGCUAGACAAGACGACAACAAAAAACUGCACAGGAAUACAAUUGGGAGGUCUGUUUCCAACAACGUAGCAGACACAAGCUAGUUGUUUCUCUCUGUGAGGUCACCUUCCUGACAACCAAAGCUAGUUGUUUCUCUCUGUGAGGUCACCUUCCUGACAACCAAAGCUAGUUGUUUCUCUCUGUGAGGUCACCUUCCUGACAACCAAAGCUAGUUGUUUCUCUCUGUGAGGUCACCUUCCUGACAACCAAAGCUAGUUGUUUCUCUCUGUGAGGUCACCUUCCUGACAACCAAAGCUAGUUGUUUCUCUCUGUGAGGUCACCUUCCUGACAACCAAAGCUAGUUGUUUCUCUCUGUGAGGUCACCUUCCUGACAACCAAAGCUAGUUGUUUCUCUCUGUGAGGUCACCUUCCUGACAACCAAAGCUAGUUGUUUCUCUCUGUGAGGU